rnacentral:rRNA from 1 species
UACGUAGGGGGCUAGCGUUGUCCGGAAUCAUUGGGCGUAAAGCGCGUGUAGGCGGUCCGGUAAGUCCGCUGUGAAAGUCGGGGGCUCAACCCUCGGAUGCCGGUGGAUACUGUCGGGCUUGAGUACGGAAGAGGCGAGUGGAAUUCCUGGUGUAGCGGUGAAAUGCGCAGAUAUCAGGAAGAACACCGAUGGCGAAGGCAGUUCUCUGGGACGGUACUGACGCUGAGACGCGAAAGCGUGGGGAGCGAACAGG